rnacentral:rRNA from 1 species
ACCAAAAAUUUUAUUAAUAUUUUUUAUUUACUUUUAUUUGUGAAAAAUUAUUUUUUUUUAUUAUUUUUUGAACUAUAAAUUUUUAUUUAAUUGUACUGUAAGGGGGUCUUCUAAGUUAAAAAAAGAAAAAUUUAUUUUUUGUACCUUGUGUAUCAGGGUUGAUUAAAAUAAAUUUUAAUUAAAAUUUUCUCGAAUUUAAAAGAGCUAAAUUAAUAUAAAUUUUAUUGUUUCAAAAAUAUUUAAAAUUUUAAUUUAGAAAUUAUAUGUUAGUCAUUUUUAAUUAUAUCUAGUUUUUAAAGAAACAAAUUCAAUUUGAUUUAUUUUAAUAUAAAAAUUUUAGUUUUUUGUUAUUAUCAUAAUUUAAUUAGUUCUGGGAUUAGCUAGAAUUAAAACUUUUAAAACUUUCUAUUAAGUUUAGAUUUAUAGGAUUAGAAAUUUUCAUUUUUAUUAUUAUGUUAUAAUUUUUCUAAGUUUUUUAAUAUUUAUAAAAGUUUAAGUUUUUUAUUUAAGUCUUUUAUUAAAUUUUUAUUUAAAAGUAAUAAUGAUUAAAUUAGUAAAAUUAAUUUUAUUUUGUUAUAAAAUUUUAAAUUACAAAUUAGGAAUUCGGCAAUGAGAUUUUCACCUGUUUAAUAAAAACAUGUCUUCUUGAUUAUAAUUUGAAGUCGGGCCUGCUCUAUGAAUUUUAAAUGGCCGCAGUAUAUUGACUGUGCUAAGGUAGCAUAAUAAUUAGUUUCUUAAUUAGAAGCUUGGAUGAAUGGUUUGAUGAAAAAACUUCUUUCUUAUUAUUAAUUAUUGAAUUUUAUUUUUAAGUUAAAAAGCUUAAAUUUUUUUAAGGGACGAGAAGACCCUUUAGAAUUUUAUAAAAUUUGGGAUAAGUUUUUUUUAGUAUUUAUUAAUUUAUUUUAAAUUGUAUUUAGUUGGGGUGACUAAAAAAUUUACUUAACUUUUUUUUAUUGUUUAACAUUUUAAUAGGUUGUAUGAUCCGAUUAGUUCGAUUACAAGAAAAAAUUACCUAAGGGAUAACAGCGUAAUAAUUUUUUAGAGUUCAAAUCGAAAAAAUUGAUUGCGACCUCGAUGUUGGAUUAGAAUUUCUAGUAGGUGCAGCAGCUUACUAAGAGGGUCUGUUCGACCUUUAAAUUUCUACAUGAUCUGAGUUUAAACCGGCGUGAGCCAGGUUGGUUUCUAUCUUUAAUUUUUUUAAAUAUUUUAGUACGAAAGGAUUAAAUAUUUUGU